rnacentral:tRNA from 1 species
GGAGAGGUGUCCGAGUGGUUUAAGGAGCUGGUCUUGAAAACCAGUGUAUGCUUUUGCAUACCCAGGGUUCGAAUCCCUGCCUCUCCGCCA